rnacentral:rRNA from 1 species
AUUGAACGCUGGCGGCAGGCCUAACACAUGCAAGUCGAGCGAGCGGCGGACGGGGGUGAAAUGUAUCGGGGCUCCCCGAUAGAGGGGGAUAAAUACUGGAGACGGUAGAUCAUACCCCAUACUACCGCAGCAUCCACAUGUGAUUAUCUCGUAGGUGAGGUAAUGGCUCACCUAGGCGACGAUCCCUAUCUGGUCUGAGAGGAUGAUCAGCCACACUGGGACUGAGACACGGCCCAGACUCGUACGGAGGCAGCAGUGGGGAAUAUUGCACAAUGGGCGCAAGCCUGAUGCAGCCAUGCCGCGUGUAUGAAGAAGGCCCUAGGGUUGUAAAGUACUUUCAGUCGGGAGGCGUUACCGACAGAAGAAGCACCGGCUAACUCCGUGCCAGCAGCCGCGGUAAUAC